rnacentral:tRNA from 1 species
GGGGUUGUGGUUCAAUGGUAGAAAUGCUCCCCUAGCAUGGGCGAAGCCUUGGGUUCAAUCCUCAGCACCACA